rnacentral:rRNA from 1 species
AAUGGAGGAAACUCUGAUGCAGCGAUGCCGUGUGAGUGAAGAAGGCCUUUGGGUUGUAAAGCUCUUUCGUCGGGGAAGAAAAUGACUGUACCCGAAUAAGAAGGUCCGGCUAACUUCGUGCCAGCAGCCGCGGUAAUACGAAGGGACCUAGCGUAGUUCGGAAUUACUGGGCUUAAAGAGUUCGUAGGUGGUUGAAAAAGAUGGUGGUGAAAUCCCAGAGCUUAACUCUGGAACUGCCAUCAAAACUUUUCAGCUAGAGUUUGAUAGAGGAAAGCAGAAUUUCUAGUGUAGAGGUGAAAUUCGUAGAUAUAGAAAGAAUACCAAUUGCGAAGGCAGCUUUCUGGAUCAUUACUGACACUGAGGAACGAAAGCAUGGGUAGCGAAGAGGAUU